GACGAACGCUGGCGGCGUGCCUAAUACAUGCAAGUCGAACGGUCUUUUCUAUGGAAGCUUGCUUCCGCUGAGAAGAUAGUGGCGAACGGGUGAGUAACACGUGGGUAACCUGCCCAUAAGAGGGGGAUAACAUCCGGAAACGGGUGCUAAUACCGCAUAGGUUUCUUGAGCGCAUGAUCGAGAAAGGAAAGACGGCCUUUGUGCUGUCGCUUAUGGAUGGACCCGCGGCGUAUUAGUUAGUUGGUGAGGUAACGGCUCACCAAGACGAUGAUACGUAGCCGACCUGAGAGGGUGAUCGGCCACAUUGGGACUGAGACACGGCCCAAACUCCUACGGGAGGCAGCAGUAGGGAAUCUUCCGCAAUGGACGAAAGUCUGACGGAGCAACGCCGCGUGAGCGAAGAAGGUUUUCGGAUCGUAAAACUCUGUUGUCAGAGAAGAACAAGUCGGAGAGUAACUGCUCCGGCCUUGACGGUAUCUGACCAGAAAGCCACGGCUAACUACGUGCCAGCCGCCGCGGUAACAC
rnacentral:rRNA from 1 species